UCCUCGGUAGUAUAGUGGUGAGUAUCCCCGCCUGUCACGCGGGAGACCGGGGUUCGUUUUCCCGCCGGGGAG
rnacentral:tRNA from 1 species